rnacentral:rRNA from 1 species
CCUACGGGAGGCAGCAGUGAGGAAUAUUGGUCAAUGGACGAGAGUCUGAACCAGCCAAGUAGCGUGAAGGAUGACUGCCCUAUGGGUUGUAAACUUCUUUUAUAUGGGAAUAAAAUGUUCCACGUGUGGGAUUUUGUAUGUACCAUAUGAAUAAGGAUCGGCUAACUCCGUGCCAGCAGCCGCGGUAAUACGGAGGAUCCGAGCGUUAUCCGGAUUUAUUGGGUUUAAAGGGAGCGUAGGUGGAUUGUUAAGUCAGUUGUGAAAGUUUGCGGCUAAACCGUAAAAUUGCAGUUGAAACUGGCAGUCUUGAGUACAGUAGAGGUGGGCGGAAGUCGUGGUGUAGCGGUGAAAUGCUUAGAUAUCACGAAGAACUCCGAUUGCGAAGGCAGUUCACUGGACUGCAACUGACACUGAGGCUCGAAAGUGUGGGUAUCAAACAGGAUUAGAUACCCGUGUAGUC